GCUUGUGCAAGAGGCACUCUUCCUAGAAAAUGGCAAAUAGAAGACCAAAAUAAGUUGAAACAACUUAUAACUUAAUUAACAUAACUGAACUUCAGAAACAGGCUAAGAUGUUGAAAUUUGUUACAAGCCCAUAAGAGUUCUAUGAAGAAGCAUAAAUUGAUAGCUAUAAUAUCUUUACAGAUAUUAUUAUGUUAUCCCAACAAUUAAGGGUUUACAAAAAAUUUUUGAAACAUCAGAUACUGUGACUGUUACUUGAAAGUUGCCCUCUCCAAAUCAUCUCCAUUGAAGACUAAAAUACGGCUGUUCAAAAAUUUGGUCAACCAACCAACCCAAGAGAAACUGACCAAACCAACCCAACUUUGUUAUGUAGAGUUGGGUUCACUAUGGUAUUGGUCGGUUUUGGUACUUGAUCUUGGUACCAGCUGUAAACCUAUGCCAAAUUUUUGAACCAAACAAUGAUCUCAAACAAGAAAUUAAAAAAAAAAAUAAUUCUACUACUAGACUUUUCCAGCUAGCUUAUAUUUUGUUCAGUUUUUGCCUAUAGCAAAUCAGAGACCUGAGAACAAAGACACAAAAAUUGAGUCAAGAUAAUUCAUCAAAUCCCCAGAAAUGGUUAUAUAGCCAAGAAAAAGAGGUAAAAUCCAACAAAACUAAUCACAGGAAAGUUGUGGACAAAAUGAAUGGACACUUUCUGUUGCUUGAUAUUUGAGUUUGUAACUUGUUUAGUUUACUAAGACUAAAUCCCACUAUAAAAUAAACAAUUCAUGACAUAUUAUAUUCAUAUUUAUAUUUCUAAAAGUUGCAAAAAGAUUUUUAUGAACUAUCCUUCUAAAAUAAUCUCAUAGACGCCCGUUAUUUACCUUGCACAUUCACUGUUGAUUCU
rnacentral:misc_RNA from 1 species